rnacentral:misc_RNA from 1 species
CUGAAGUGAUUUGGGGAUGUUGCUGGCCUUCUUCUCAGGGGGCAAAUGUGCACUCCCUAAACAAUUCACAAUUUCCAUCACACCCUUGUGCACAUCUUGUAGGCCCCUCUCUCACCUCUCCAUGGGUUGGGUGGUCCUAUGUAUUCUAUCAUCUCACACUUUUUGAAUGGUGCUCUUGAAUGCAUCUUAUGGAUUAUUUGUAAAAAAAAGUAAUCACAGAAA